rnacentral:rRNA from 1 species
UACGGGGGGGGGCAAGCGUUGUUCGGAAUUAUUGGGCGUAAAGAGCUCGUAGGCGGUUUGUCGCGUCUGCUGUGAAAGACCGGGGCUCAACUCCGGUUCUGCAGUGGGUACGGGCAGACUAGAGUGCAGUAGGGGAGCGUGGAAUUCCUGGUGUAGCGGUGAAAUGCGCAGAUAUCAGGAGGAACACCAGCGGCGAAGGCGGCGCUCUGGGCCGGUACUGACACUGAGGAGCGAAAGCGUGGGUAGCAAACAGG